GCAGGAAUGGCGGAAUGGCAGACGCGCUGUCUUCAGGCGGCAGUUUCUAACGAAGUGUGGGUUCGACUCCCAUUUCCUGCA
rnacentral:tRNA from 1 species